CCGGCACGGGUGAGUAACACGUAUGCAAUCCACCUGUAACAGGGGGAUAACCCGGAGAAAUCCGGACUAAUACCCCAUAAUAUGGGCGCUCCGCAUGGAGAGCCCAUUAAAGAGAGCAAUUUUGGUUACAGACGAGCAUGCGCUCCAUUAGCCAGUUGGCGGGGUAACGGCCCACCAAAGCGACGAUGGAUAGGGGUUCUGAGAGGAAGGUCCCCCACAUUGGACUGAGACACGGCCAA
rnacentral:rRNA from 1 species